UACGAGGGGUGCAAGCGUUAUUCGGAAUUACUGGGCGUAAAGGGUGUGCAGACGGUUUUUCAAGUCAGUUGUUAAAUCUCCCGGCCUAACUGGGAAUCGGCGACUGAAACUGAAAGACUUGAGGAUGGAAGAGAGAAGUGGAAUUCUCGGAGUAGCGGUAAAAUGCGUAGAUCUCGAGAGGAACACCGAUGGCGAAGGCAGCUUCUUGGUCCAUUCCUGACGUUGAGACACGAAAGCGUGGGUAGCAAACAGG
rnacentral:rRNA from 1 species